CUUCAGGGAUCCCAGCCACAGCGGGCGGUCCGCGGGCCGGUCCUGGCCGUAGACGGCGAUCAGGGCCUGGGCCUC
rfam:Streptomyces bungoensis strain DSM 41781 genomic scaffold PRJNA299233_s041, whole genome shotgun sequence.